GCAUCUCUCAUUCUGAAACCCUCAUGUAAACUAACUGCCUAUAUCACAUGUUUCCAUGGUAUCCUAGGAGAUCUCCAUCCUGAAGUAAUCCAAGCCAAGCCAAGGUAUAUUCAUUAAGCACCUACCAUGUGCAAAGCACUGUGCUGGAUGCUGGGGAUAUAAAGACAAGAUCAAGAAGUUUAAAUUCUACUAGACAUGGAAGAUGUAUGUGUGAAUGAUGUGCAGCAGAUACAGUCUGUCAACAGAUAAGUACACACAUGAUCAUUUGAGUAGAGAUCACAAAAUUUGAGAGUCAGGAGAGACCCCAGAAGCCAUCCUCCCUAUACUAUAGCUGACAAGUAGUCUCAAGCCACUACUUGAAGGUCUCCAAAAGGGGCUCCCACUACCUCCUGAGGCAGCCCAUUCUAAUUUGGGACAGCUCUAAACAUGAGGAAGUUUGCUUGAUAUCCAGUUUAACUUUGCCUCCUUGCAACACCCACCCACUGCUCAUGAUUCUUUCUACCCUUUAGAGUCAAGUAGAAAAAUCUGUUACCUUUCACAUAUGAGAGGCCUGAAGAUACCUAUGAUGGGGUCUGGGGGCUCGAGCACACACCCAUAAAAGCUACAGAUGUUUCCUUCCUAGGCUCUGACCAACAAUGCUGGGCCAGGGGGGGAUGCUGUGGGGGCCUUUCUUCUCUACAGGAAUCACCAGCUGGGCACUCCAUCCUGGGGAUGUGAAAAAGAUGGUGACACACCUAUCAAGAGCCAGGGGAUGCUGGCCAGCCACUUAGAGCUCUGAAGGAUCUACCCAGGCUAGACUGUGACUGUGUAAGGAUGAAGAUGACGUCACGAUCUGAUGAAGGAGGAAACCUCUUAAUGGCUCCUACAAAUGUUGGCCUAUACCCGUCAUUCAAUCCUGUGCCCUGGUUGGCAAGAGCACAUGACCAGCUGCUAGAUGUCCAGUUCUCCUCUGGGAUAAAUGCUCUUCAUUUUACAGAUGAAGAAACUGAGGCCAAGAGGCUAAGUAGUUGCUUAAGCUCACACAGCUAAACGUCUGAGGAAAGAUUUGAACAGAAUGCCCCUGUGCUAUCCAGAUGUCUGAGCAAAUCUAAAUAAAAAGUAAUAAUGAGAGCUAGUAUUUAUACA
rnacentral:lncRNA from 1 species